GUGAGGAAUAUUGGACAAUGGAUGGAAAUCUGAUCCAGCCAUGCCGCGUGCAGGAAGACGGCCCUAUGGGUUGUAAACUGCUUUUAUACGGGAGCAAUAAGGUCUAUGCAUAGAUUGAUGAGAGUACCGUAUGAAUAAGCAUCGGCUAACUCCGUGCCAGCAGCCGCGGUAAUACGGAGGAUGCGAGCGUUAUCCGGAUUUAUUGGGUUUAAAGGGUGCGUAGGCGGCUUUGUAAGUCAGCGGUGAAAUUUUGCAGCUUAACUGUAAAAGCGCCGUUGAUACUGUGAAGCUAGGAUUUGGUUGCUGUGGGCGGAAUGUGUGGUGUAGCGGUGAAAUGCAUAGAGAUCACACAGAAUAUCGAUUGCGAAGGCAGCUCACAAAGCCAAUAUUGACGCUGAGGCACGAAAGUGUGGGGAUCAAACAGGAUUAGAAACCCGUGUAGUCC
rnacentral:rRNA from 1 species